AUGAGUUUUCUAAUGGGUUGUCGCUGGCCUUCCGGGGCAUGUGCACACUCAUCACUCAUCCAUUUACACCUGUGCACCUUUGUAGUUUUCUUUAUCUUUGUGGGACGGAAGCCAAUUAACUUUGGUGAAAGUCCUACAGGGAGACGGAUUCUACGUUUUAUACACACACACUACAGUAUUAGAAUGUAUUCUUUGCUAUAAAACGCAUUUAAAUA
rnacentral:misc_RNA from 1 species